CGGUUGAGAUGGCAGGUUGCGAAGAAGCAUCCAGGUUUCCUCGCUACGCUCGAAGCAGGGGGGCAAAGGGGCGAUGGCCCAUAGAAGGGCGGCCUGCAGAAAAAAUGGCAGUUGCAUGACCUUGUUCCGUACGGUGGCGUGCCCCAGCUGGCCGAGAAAGGGUGGCGGAAUAAGUAGUAGCUGGGGCGGGGCGGCCGUGCUGAUAAUGCAGCCAGGUUGCCAGGCGGGAAAUGCGUUCGUACCCAGGAACGGAGGCAUAUUGGUAAGUCGAUGAUCCGCUUCGGUUUGGACGGGAACGUACUCCGGUUGAGAUGGCAGGUUGCGAAGAACCAUCCAGGUUUCCUCGCUACGCUCGAAGCAGAGGGGCAAAGGGGCGAUGGCCCAUAGACGGGCGGCCUGCAGAAAAAAUGGCAGUUGCAUGACCUUGUUCCGUACGGUGGCGUGCCCCAGCUGGCCGAGAAAGGGUGGCGGAAUAAAUAAUAGCUGGGGCGGGGCGGCCGUGCUGAUAGUGCAGCCAGGUUGCCAGGCGGGAAAUGCGUUCAUACCCAGGAACGGAGGCAUAUUGGUAAGUCGAUGAUCCGCUUCGGUUUGGACGGGAACGUACUCCGGUUGAGAUGGCAGGUUGCGAAGAAGCAUCCAGGUUUCCUCGCUACGCUCGAAGCAGAGGGGCAAAGGGGCGAUGGCCCAUAGAAGGGCGGCCUGCA